GAUGAACGCUGGCGGCGUGCCUAAUACAUGCAAGUCGAGCGAACAGAUAAGGAGCUUGCUCCUUUGACGUUAGCGGCGGACGGGUGAGUAACACGUGGGUAACCUACCUAUAAGACUGGGAUAACUUCGGGAAACCGGAGCUAAUACCGGAUAACAUUUGGAACCGCAUGGUUCUAAAGUGAAAGAUGGUUUUGCUAUCACUUAUAGAUGGACCCGCGCCGUAUUAGCUAGUUGGUAAGGUAACGGCUUACCAAGGCGACGAUACGUAGCCGACCUGAGAGGGUGAUCGGCCACACUGGAACUGAACCACGGUCCAGACUCCUACGGGAGGCAGCAGUAGGGAAUCUUCCGCAAUGGGCGAAAGCCUGACGGAGCAACGCCGCGUGAGUGAUGAAGGGUUUGGGCUCGUAAACCUCUGUUAUUAGGGAAGAACAAAUGUGUAAGUAACUGUGCACGUCUUGACGGUACCUAAUCAGAAAGCCACGGCUAACUACGUG
rnacentral:rRNA from 1 species